AUUGAACGCUGGCGGCAGGCCUAACACAUGCAAGUCGAGCGAGCGGCGGACGGGUGAGUAAUGUAUGGGGACUGCCCGAUAGAGGGGGAUAACUACUGGAAACGGUGGCUAAUACCGCAUACUAUCGGAUAACCCAUAUGGGAGUAGCUAGUAGGAGGGGUAAAGGCUCAACUAGGCGGCGAUGUCUAGCUGGUCUGAGAGGAUGAUGAACCACCUAGGGACUGAGACAAGGGCCAUACUCGAAGGGAGGCAGCAGUAGGGAUUCUUGCACAAUGGGCGCAAGCCUGAUGCAGCCAUGCCGCGUGUAUGUAGAAGGCCUUAGGGUUGUAAAGGACUAUCGGCGGGGGAGCGUUACCCGCAGAAGAAGCACCGGCUAACUCCGUGCCAGCAGCCGCGGUAAUUC
rnacentral:rRNA from 1 species